AGAUAAAUUUGUAAAAUGUAUGUUUAAGAUUUGGUGUUUAACUUUGAAAAUAUUAGAGGUGUUUAAGUUCAGAUUUGGGGUACAAGGUUAAUUUGGAGUAUAGGGUUUAGGUUUAGAGUUAAUGGUUUGGUGUAUAGUGUAUAGUAUUUGAGUUAUAGAUUAAAGAUUUGAGAUUAAUUAUUAAAAAAUUAAUUUAAAAGUUUAAGGUUAAUUUAUAGUAUUGGGAGUUUAGUUGAAAUUUUAGUGUUUAUGAUAUAAGGUAUAUAGUAUAUAUAAGAUUUAUAUUUUGAUUAUAUGAUUUUAUAAAAUAUUUUGAGUUUAAAUUUAGUUUAGAUUAUAAGAUUGAAAAGAUUAGAUUUUAUAAUUUUAUAUCUAGAUUUAAAUUUGGGGUUUAGGGUAUAGAUGUUAAGAUUCAGGGUAUAGAGUAUUUAGCGACUACUUACUAAGUUUAGGAUACAUCGUAAGUGGUUGUAAAAACGGUCGCUAAAUUAACGACUAUUUUACGACUACUUACUAUCGCCAUCGUUAAAUUAGCGACUGUUUUACGAGUACGUGUUGCCGACCACAUAGGUAGUCGC
rnacentral:lncRNA from 1 species